GGCUUCUCCCUAGCUCUCAGCCCCUGUAGGCAGGUGCUAUGGAGCACAUGUGAACAUCCUGAUCUUUAGUGAACAUCAACCCUCCCAGAAGCAGAGCACCCUGCUAUCUAUUUAGGUGCCAGAAGGCCAAGCCCAGGCCCUCAGGACCACUUCCCACCCACAGGUGCCUUCUUCAAGCAGCUUCCUUUAGCUCCCCAUGGGUGUGUGUGGACAGGCAGAUCCUGUGGAAGCCUCUGGGGAUAAGCUGAUUAGCAGGUACAAAAACACUCAUGCCCACCAGUGGAUGAGGAGGUCGGGGCUACAGAGACCGAAGGAUGCAAGCUCUGCCAAUGGGAGCGACUACCCAGCUCAGCCAAUAUUUUGUGUGAUAACAUGGGUCUGGGGACACCAAAUUUGACUUGACUUGGAAAUUCUGAUUUUUAAAAUUUAUGUCAAUUUCAUUUACAUUUAACUAAGGUGCCCAAUUUAAUUUACAUUUAACUAAGAUAAGAUGCCCAGACUAUUGGAUUUUAUAAAAUAAAUUUUACUGGAACCCA